GUGGUGGCUCAGUGGUAGAGGGCUUGUCUGGCAUGUGUGAGGCACUGGGUUGGAUUCUCAGCACCACG
rnacentral:tRNA from 1 species